rnacentral:rRNA from 1 species
UGGGGAAUAUUGGACAAUGGGCGCAAGCCUGAUCCAGCCAUGCCGCGUGAGUGAUGAAGGCCUUAGGGUUGUAAAGCUCUUUCAGUAGGGAAGAUAAUGACGGUACCUACAGAAGAAGCCCCGGCUAACUUCGUGCCAGCAGCCGCGGUAAUACGAAGGGGGCUAGCGUUGUUCGGAUUUACUGGGCGUAAAGCGCACGUAGGCGGUUUGUUAAGUCAGAGGUGAAAUCCCGGAGCUCAACUCCGGAACUGCCUUUGAUACUGGCAAGCUAGAGUCCGGAAGAGGUAAGUGGAACUCCUAGUGUAGAGGUGGAAUUCGUAGAUAUUAGGAAGAACACCAGUGGCGAAGGCGGCUUACUGGUCCGGAACUGACGCUGAGGUGCGAAAGCGUGGGGAGCAAACAGG